ACUACGGGUGGCAGCAGUGAGGAAUAUUGGUCAAUGGGCGGAAGCCUGAACCAGCCAAGUAGCGUGCAGGAUGACGGCCCUACGGGUUGUAAACUGCUUUUAUACGGGAAUAACGCGCCUUACGUGUAGGGCUUUGCAUGUACCGUAUGAAUAAGGACCGGCUAAUUCCGUGCCAGCAGCCGCGGUAAUACGGAAGGUCCGGGCGUUAUCCGGAUUUAUUGGGUUUAAAGGGAGCGUAGGCCGCAUGUCAAGCGUGCUGUGAAAUGUCCGGGCUCAACCCGGGCCUUGCAGCGCGAACUGGCGUGCUUGAGUCCGCGUAAAGCAGGCGGAAUUCGUCGUGUAGCGGUGAAAUGCUUAGAUAUGACGAAGAACCCCGAUUGCGAAGGCAGCUUGCUGCAGCGGAACUGACGCUGAUGCUCGAAAGCGCGGGUAUCGAACAGGAUUAGAUACCCUAGUAGUC
rnacentral:rRNA from 1 species